GACGAACGCUGGCGGCGUGGAUUAGGGCAUGCAAGUCGAACGGUAGGAUACCUUCGGGUAUCUGAGAGUGGCGAACGGGUGAGUAACACGUAGGUGAUCUACCCUCAAGAUUGGGACAACCCAGGGAAACUUGGGCUAAUACCGGAUGAAAGCAGCAGUGAUGUUGUUUGAAAGGUGGCGUAAGCUGCCGUUUGGGGAUGAGCCUGCGCUCUAUUAGUUAGUUGGCGGGGUAAAGGCCCACCAAGGCGAUGAUAGAUAGGCGGCCUUAACGGGUGGUCGCCCACACUGGGAUUGAGAUACGGCCCAGACUCCUACGGGAGGCAGCAGUCGAGAAUAGUCUACAAUGGCCGAAAGGCUGAUAGUGCGACGCCGCGUGAACGAAGAAGCCCUUCGGGGUGUAAAGUUCUUUUAUAUGUGAGCAGUGCUUUCUAUGUGAACAGCAUGGGGAGAGAGAUAUUAGCAUAUGAAUAAGCAACGGCUAACUCCGUG
rnacentral:rRNA from 1 species